AUGUGCCAGCUAAGGCUCGUCACCAACAUGAGGGCUCAUAAUGACACAUGGUUUGCAGAUUACUUGCUAAGGGUUAGCAAUGGCACCGUGGAAGCUGACAAUCAAGGCAACAUAUGACUCCGUGAUGAUACUUGUGUGCCUUAUACAGGUGAAGUGGACAACCUGGAGAAGUUGAUUGACCAUGUAUUUCCUAGUCUAGAUGACAACAUGUUUGAUCCGAAUUACAUGACUUCUCGCGCAAUCCUCUUCACCACGAAUGACAACGUCGACAAGAUAAUCAUACGCAUGAUAGAGCGUUUUCAGGGAGAAGAAGUGAUCUACCAUAUGGCUACUACGCUCCCGAGUUCCUGA
rnacentral:rRNA from 1 species